rnacentral:rRNA from 1 species
CCUACGGGUGGCUGCAGUGGGGAAUAUUGGACAAUGGGCGAAAGCCUGAUCCAGCCAUGCCGCGUGUGUGAAGAAGGCCUUCGGGUUGUAAAGCACUUUCAGUGGGGAAGAAAGCCUUGGGGCUAAUACCCUCGAGGAAGGACAUCACCCACAGAAGAAGCACCGGCUAACUCCGUGCCAGCAGCCGCGGUAAUACGGAGGGUGCGAGCGUUAAUCGGAAUUACUGGGCGUAAAGCGCGCGUAGGCGGUCUGAUAAGCCGGUUGUGAAAGCCCCGGGCUCAACCUGGGAACGGCAUCCGGAACUGUCAGGCUAGAGUGCAGGAGAGGAAGGUAGAAUUCCCGGUGUAGCGGUGAAAUGCGUAGAGAUCGGGAGGAAUACCAGUGGCAAAGGCGGCCUUCUGGACUGACACUGACGCUGAGGUGCGAAAGCGUGGGUAGCAAACAGGAUUAGAUACCCUAGUAGUC